CUAACUCAAAUUUGUAUGGAGUUGGAACGUUUGCCUACGUUUGCCGCUAGGGGCACUGUUCCAACUUCACACAAAUUUGAGUUA
rfam:Bombyx mori DNA, contig: Bm_scaf51_contig26537, strain: p50T/Dazao, build 2, whole genome shotgun sequence.